UACAGAGGUCUCAAGCGUUGUUCGGAUUCAUUGGGCGUAAAGGGUGCGUAGGCGGCGCGGUAAGUCGGGUGUGGAAUCUCGGAGCUUAACUCCGAAACUGCAUUCGAUACUGCCGUGCUUGAGGACUGGAGAGGAGACUGGAAUUUACGGUGUAGCAGUGAAAUGCGUAGAGAUCGUAAGGAAGACCAGUGGCGAAGGCGGGUCUCUGGACAGUUCCUGACACUGAGGCACGAAGGCCAGGGGAGCAAACGGG
rnacentral:rRNA from 1 species